UUAAGUGAUAUACGAAAACCAUUACAUUUCCAAACUGGCCAAUUUGCCGCUCCUGCUUCUCCCUCUUGCAGUUUCAGCAGCACUAGGUUGGAUAUGAAUGGCAGCACUAGGUUGGUUAUGAAUGGCAGCACUAGGUUGGAUAUGAAUGGCAGCACUAGGUUGGAUAUGAAUGGCAGCACUAGGUUGGAUAUGAAUGGCAGCACUAGGUUGGAUAUGAAUGGCAGCACUAGGUUGGUUAUGAAUGGCAGCACUAGGUUGGAUAUGAAUGGCAGCACUAGGUUGGUUAUGAAUGACAACAUGCAGGCUUUCAGCCCAGUCUCUGAUGUUUGUUAGUCUAUCGUCUCAUCCCCUGCUUUACAAAUAUACAUCCUCACUAAAAAAGAUGCUAAUAUAAAUUGAAAGUACAUUUUACAUGAAUGGAUUAAGGGGUGCUCCGAGGAACAUUAUUUCAUUAUUCCUACUUAAAGGGCUAAUUCAAGAUUUUGGCAUUGAGGCCCUUUAUCUGUAUCCAGUAUGAUGAAGUUAGAGGUAGUUUCGUGAGCCAAUGCUAACGAGUGUUAGUGCAAUGACUGGAAGUUUAUGGUAUCUACUGGAAUGCUAGCUGUUACCAUAGACUUCCAGGCAUUGUGCUAAUGCUAGUUAGCAACUUCCUUCAAACUGCACUUCAAACUGCACGCAGAGACAAGACAUUUCCAAAAUCCUGAAGUAUCCUUUUAAUAGCAAAGGAUUUUCAUCAUAAUACCCAAUAAACUUUAUCACACUGUGUGUAUUGUAGCUUAUUGUAACACUCCCUAAAAAUCAAAGGAUUUAUGCUACUAAACUCAAUGUUGAUGACUAGACCGUGUGCGUGGUAUUGUAAUCCUUAAGGAGGGAGUUAUUUCAUGUGAUGAUCACCACUGUUCAAGGCUUCAGAAGACAUCUGACGGAUGCUAAUUUGACAGCGAGACACACACCAUCAAGUACCAUUUAAAAUUAAAUAACAGUGUUAUUGUUGUGUGUUUUGUUAAUAAUUCGACAAGCUCUUCAAAACGUGGGAGAAUGGGAUCAGAAACAAGCCCAGGGACAAGACAAAGCUCUGAUGUCAGAGAGGAGUGUGCUUCACUUUACCAAAUGGCAAUGUGUUUUUAUGGCC
rnacentral:lncRNA from 1 species